GUGGGGAAUUUUGGACAAUGGGCGCAAGCCUGAUCCAGCAAUGCCGCGUGCAGGAAGAAGGCCUUCGGGUUGUAAACUGCUUUUGUACGGAACGAAAAGGCUCUGGUUAAUACCUGGGGCUCAUGACGGUACCGUAAGAAUAAGCACCGGCUAACUACGUGCCAGCAGCCGCGGUAAUACGUAGGGUGCAAGCGUUAAUCGGAAUUACUGGGCGUAAAGCGUGCGCAGGCGGUUUUGUAAGACAGGCGUGAAAUCCCCGGGCUCAACCUGGGAAUUGCGCUUGUGACUGCAAGGCUGGAGUGCGGCAGAGGGGGAUGGAAUUCCGCGUGUAGCAGUGAAAUGCGUAGAUAUGCGGAGGAACACCGAUGGCGAAGGCAAUCCCCUGGGCCUGCACUGACGCUCAUGCACGAAAGCGUGGGGAGCAAACAGGAUUAGAAACCCCGGUAGUCC
rnacentral:rRNA from 1 species